GGGAUGGGGAGGUGCAUAGAGGCCGGGCUGCAUAGAGAAAGAGAGGCCACGUGGGGUGCAUAGAGGCUGAGGGAAAGAGAGGCGGAGGGCCAUAGAGACAAUGGGGUAUAGAGAUAGAAGGACAGAGAUGUAUGGGGCUACAGAGAUGUUGGGACUGAAAGACUGAGGGGCAUAGAGGCUGCGCUGUAUAGCGUCUGAGCGUCCACGGGGACCAUGGAGCCGGAGCUAGCUACAUAGACACAGGCCACAGGGGGCGCAGAGGCUGGGCUGGAGAGAAAGGCCACGAUGUGUGUGUUGGGGGCGCGCAGAGCUCCAGCGGCCUAUGCCCUAUAGGCAGAGGGGCGAGGGAGGACGGGGCGCAGAGGCUGGGCUGCAUAGAGACAGAGAGGCCGGGGCGGGGGAGCGGGGACAUAGUGGCGGAAGGAAAGAGAGGUCUAGGGGCAUAGAGCGAGGGACAGAGAUGCCUAGGCUACAGAGAUGUAGGUCCAGAGGCCGAGGGGCAUAGAGGCUGGAGUGCAAAGAGCCAGAGAGGCCAUGGUGGUUAGAAGCCAAGCUGCAUAGAGAUAGAGGGGGGAGGGGGGCAUGGAGGCUGGGCUGUGUAGAGACAGAGAGGCCGGGAGGGGGCAUAGAGGCCAAGCUGAGUGGAGAUAGAGAGGCCAGAGGGGGAGCAUAGAGGCGGAGCUUCAUAGAGACGGGGGUGGGGGGGGGGGUGGGUAUAGAGUUUAGGUUAGAGACAGAGCGUCCACGGUGGGGUGGGCGUGGCUUAGAGGCUUGGCUGUAUAGAGAGUGGCCACGUGGGGUGCAUAGAGGCUGAGGGAAAGAGAGGCCAAGGGCCAUAGUGCUACAGAGAUGUUGGGACAGAGAGGCUGAAGGUCUUAGAGGCUGUGCUGUAUAGCGUCUGAGACUCCACCGGGACCAUAGAGCCCAAGCUCCAUGGCGACAUAGAGGCCGAGCCUGCAUAGAAACAGAGGGGCGGGGGACGGGGCAUAGAGGCCGGACUGCAUAAAGACAGAGAGGCCGCGGGGGCCGGGGGAUAGAGACUGAGGGAAAGAGAGGCCGAGGGCCAUAGUGACAAUGGGACAUAAAGAGUGACAGAGAUUCAUUGGGCUACAGAAAUGUUGGGACAGAGAGGCUGAGAGGCAUAGUAGCUGCGCUGUAUAGAGUCAGAGUCUACAGGGUGGGGGCUACCCAAGCUACAUAGACACAGAGUGGUCACGGGGCGUAUAGAAGCUGAGCUGAAUAGACACACAGGCCUCAGAAGACAUAGAGCCUCGGUGGUAGAGACAUAGAGGCCAAGGUAUAUAAGGACAGAGAAGGCUUGGGGGAAUGGUGAGCGCAUAGAGGCUGAGGGAAAGAGUCCGAGGGCCAUAGAAACAAUGGUGAAUAGAGAGGGGCGGAGAUGCAGAGAGCCUCAGAUAUAGGAACAUAGGUACUAAGGGGCAUAGAGUCUCAGCAACAGAGAAGCCACGCGGGGCAUAGAGGCUGAGCUGCCUAGAGACACAGAGGCCAUUGGUGGGGACGGGGACAUAAAGGCUAAGUUCCUAGACACAGAGAUACGAAGGUAUAGAGGCCAAGAUUCUUAGAGACACCAAGGGGCUUAAAGGCUACCGGAGGGGCUAUAGAAGCUGAGGAAAAGAUAGCCCGAGGGCCAUAGAAACACAGGGACAUAGAAAUAGGGGGACAGAGAGAACACAGGGGAAUAGAGGCUGAGGCUGCAUAGAGAGACUGUCCAUGGGAAGGGCCGUAGAGGCCAAGGGGCCUAGACACAGAGACUCCAAUGGACAUAGAAGCAGACCUGUAUAAAGACGGAGAUGCUGCGGGGGUAGUGGGGCAUAGAGGCUGAGUGAAAGUGAUGCCGAGGGCCAUAGAGAUACAGAGGGCCAACAGAGAGGUUGAGGGGCAUACAGGCCAGGCUGCAUAGAGAUAGAGUGGCCACGGGGGUUGGGGAGGUGACAUAGAGGCUGAGGGAAAGAGAGCCCGAGGGCCAUAAAGAAAUAGGAACAGAGGCUGACAGGCAGAGGGGCAUAGAGGCUGAGCUGAAUAAAGACAGAGAUACCACUGAGGACAUAGAGGCUGAACUGCAUAGAGUCAGACAGGCCACAGUGGGGUGGAGGUGAGGGAUAGAGGCUUAACUGUAUAGAGACAGGCCACAGGGGACACAGGCUGAGCUUCAUAGAGACAGAGGGGCCAUGGGGGGCAUAAAGAUAGAGGGACAGAGAGGUUGAUGGGAAUAGUCUCACAGACAAAGAUGCAGAGGGUCUUAGAGACAGAGGCUAGGAGGGACAAAAAGGUGGAGGGACAGAGAGGUCGUGUCAUAUAGACUGAGCUCUAUAGAGACAGGCCUAGGAAAGGAAAGGGUGAGGGGCCCGAUAUGCUCAGGGCCAUAGAGAUAGAGGGACAGAGAGGCCAAGAGUUCUGACAGGCCUAAAGGAGGAGAGGCUGAGAGGCAUAAAGACAAAGGGACAAGGAGGUUCCAGGGGCAUAGAGGCCAAGCUGAAUAGAUACAGAGGUGCCAAAGGGCCGGAGAGGGUGAGGGCCAUAGAGGUAGAGGGGCAGGGAGGCCAAAGGGCAUACGACCUGAGGGAAAAAGAGAGGCCCAGGGACAUAGAGGCUGAGAGGCAUAAAGACAGGGUAGAAGGGGCAGGUGCAGAGGGGUUUAGAGACAGCAGCUGAGGAUAGGAGAGGCUGAGGGACAGAGAAGCUGUGGGACAUAGAGGUUCCUGGACAGAGAUGCAGAACAACCUAGAGAGACAGGCUAGGAGAGGCUGAGGGAAAGAGGCCAAGGGACAUAGUGGCUAAUGGACGUUGACGCGUAAGAGUUGGAGGGCUGGAGAGGCUGUUGGGCAUAGACACAGAGGGACAAAGAGGUCUCAGGGCAUAGAGGCGGAGAUGCAUAGAGGGUUAAUCACAUACAGACAGAGGCCAAGGGGCAUAAAGCUGAGGGACAGAGAAGCAGAGGGUAGAAGAGGAUGUGGGCCAUAGAGGUGGAGAGGCUGAAAAUCAGAAGCACAAAGACAGAGGUGGAGGCAGAGAAGGGGGCUAGAGGGUAGAGACUUGGAGAAGAGACAGAAGCAGAGGAGCAAAGGAAGAAAUGUAGGGGGAGACAGGCUAAGGGGUAGAAAGGCAGAGGAGUGGAGGCUGAGGCCUGGACACAGAGGCAGAAGCAGAGGUUGAGAGGCAGUGAGCCACACAGGCCAAUUCAGAGUGAAGUAGAGAUAGAGAGGCAGAAAGGCACAAGCUGAAAUAACACAGACAGAGGCAAGAAAACCAGGAAGCAGGGGUAGAGGGGCAGAGAGGCAAGGUAAGAAAUGGAGAUGCCCAGAACUCUAAAGGCAGAGAGGCUGGCAAAGAGAGGCAAAGAGGCGAAAGUAGAGCUAAAGCCUAGUUAGAGAGGCAGAAAACUGCAAAGGGAGAGUGUUGGGAAACAGGCUGAUACAAGGCUUUCUCAGGGGCCCCAACGAAUGGAAAAAGGGAACAUUAGUUCUGUGUCCUUGAUCAGGUGCAGUCUGGGGCUUGGGCCAGGGCCUCAGAGGAGUCAGAGUUGCAGUUUCUGGGAUCUGGGCUGUGGCUAUCAGUCCUCCUUCCGGGUGCUGUGUGUGAAGCAUUCCGUGUUCUCUUUGCCAUCAUUGUAUCGUUUAGCUUUCUGCUGACCUUGACUAUCCGUCUCCCCUGCCAACAGGCCCUGUCACAAAGAAUGACCCAUUGGCCCAACCCAAUUGGCACCUGAACAGAGACCAGAGUAAGGAGAAAAGGGUUCGGCAACAGUUCCCAAAUUAGGAGGCACCAUAUUUUCUCCAAUACAUUCGAGUAUAUUCUGGUCUCCUUGGUCUUUUGGCAGAGGUAAAUCUCAUUGUACAUGUAGCCUCUCAUGCUCUUAUUCAGGUGCUGACUGAGUCUGUUUGACUUAAGCAAGCUACAGAAUCUCAUGUAUGCCCUCAUCAACCACCUGCUACACUUGGUAUCAAUUUCAGUUAUCUGGAGAACAGGCACAACAAAUUGUUCCAGAUGCUCUGCUUACCUAGCUUCUCUGCCUGCUCCUUGUUAUGGUAUUAAUCCUUUAGACUUAUUGCCUAAUACAUUAUGGCCUUUGGAUGGAAGCAAGCUGUUGAGCAUUGCAUUACGCAUUGCCCGCUGUUGUUUUUUUUGUAGCUGCCCUUCCAAAAAUGUUGAAAUACAGAUAAUAAUACUCCUUUAUAUACUUCUGGUGCCUUUAAGAAGUUUUGUACUUCCACCUUCAGGAUUGAGGAUAAGUAGGUGUCCCUUACAAUGUCC
rnacentral:lncRNA from 1 species